rnacentral:rRNA from 1 species
UGGGGAAUUUUGGACAAUGGGCGAAAGCCUGAUCCAGCAAUGCCGCGUGUGUGAAGAAGGCCUUCGGGUUGUAAAGCACUUUUGUCCGGAAAGAAAUCCUUGGCUCUAAUACAGUCGGGGGAUGACGGUACCGGAAGAAUAAGCACCGGCUAACUACGUGCCAGCAGCCGCGGUAAUACGUAGGGUGCAAGCGUUAAUCGGAAUUACUGGGCGUAAAGCGUGCGCAGGCGGUUUGCUAAGACCGAUGUGAAAUCCCCGGGCUCAACCUGGGAACUGCAUUGGUGACUGGCAGGCUAGAGUAUGGCAGAGGGGGGUAGAAUUCCACGUGUAGCAGUGAAAUGCGUAGAGAUGUGGAGGAAUACCGAUGGCGAAGGCAGCCCCCUGGGCCAAUACUGACGCUCAUGCACGAAAGCGUGGGGAGCAAACAGGAUUAGAUACCCUGGUAGUCCACGCCCUAAACGAUGUCAGCUAGUUGUUGGGGGAUUCAUUUUCCUUAGUAACGUAGCUAACGCGUGAAGUUGACCGCCUGGGGAGUACGGUCGCAAGAUUAAACUUAAGGAAUUGACGGGGUCAUAGCUGUUUCCU